rnacentral:rRNA from 33 species
UUGAUAGGCCGGGUGUGUAAGCGCAGCGAUGCGUUGAGCUAACCGGUACUAAUGAACCGUGAGGCUUAACCUUACAACGCCGAAG